rnacentral:lncRNA from 1 species
UUUGAUACAAGACGAAUGAAGUUUGCAUCCAUCAGUCACCAAUCUGAGUCCAUUUUUAUUCAUGACUAAGGUGACAUGUCUAGCUCUGCUGCUACAAUGUGAAUGCCCAGAUUGUGUCUCAACUUGCGUUUCCAUCAUGCAUGAUUAUUAUCUUCCCAGUACUUUGUUUUGUGUCAAUUCAAGAGAAUUAGAGCGAAUACCAAUUUUGGCACCAAUUACAUAAGAUAUUUUACCUAAUGUAUUAUAAUUUCUCCUUUUUGACAUUAAAAUUAAACCAAAGUGACAAGCUUUUGAUAUGUUUCAUUGCAUAAUGGUAAACAUGAUAAUGGAUCCAUCAUCUGGACAAGAAUAUAUAUAGAACUUCUAAUGUAGGACAGACUUGAUUAUGGAAAAUUCAGGGAUGAUUAAUGGGCAGUUUUGAGCUAAAAGGGUAGGGAAAUUGUGUAAGAAGCUGAGGUUUAUGUUGCUAUAUGGAUGGGGAGCGAAUUGGGUUCAAAAUAAAGCAAAACGAUGCAGUUUUAAGGGUUUUAAGUAAGCUGGAAGUAGAAAAAAUGGGAACAAAAUUUUGGAUUUUUUGUAUGAAUACCCUCCUAAAUAUCAAAUUUUGCAUAAAUACCCUUCUAAAAUUUAUAUUUGCAUGUAUACCCUCUUAAAACACUUGUUUUGCUAUUCUACCCUUUUUUAUUCUUGUCUUUGCAUAUGUACCCAUGCUAUCUAAUGCCGUUAAAAAAUUAACGGUAUCAAAUUAAAAUGACUAAAAUAUCCAUAAUGGGUAGACGUGCAAAUAGAAAUAUUUAUAUGGGUAUACAAUCAAUCACGAUCACAAUCCCAAUAGCAGAAAAAAAAGACAGGGACAGUAGCGUAAUUUUAAAAAAAUAUUUUAUUUUUAAUUAAUAUAAAUAUGGUUUUUUCUUAACAUCAUUAGAACAACCAUUAUAUUAGGGGCAAUUGUACAAUAACAGAGUUUUACGAGGGUAUACAUAAAAAUAGCAAUUUUGGAAGGGUAUUCGUGCAAAAUCCGAUAUUUAGAAGGGUAUCCAUGCAAAAAAAGCCUAAAAUUUUUGUUUGUUUUGUGAAUUUAAAGGAUAAUUGAUGGAUGAGUGGAUAUGGGUUUUGUUGCUUUUGGUUAUUAACAAGAUACACCGUCUCAGUACCGGGCCCCAUACUAGUGCCACGCUAUCACUAUGUCGACAUGGUACAAUACAGAGCUGGUUCGGCAUAUUGAGUAUCGAUACGCCCCUAUACCGUAUACCAACGCCAAAGCGGUAUGGUACGGUACUCCCCAUACCGUACGAUUUGGUACGCCCAAUACCGUACGAUUUGGUACAGAAUAGCGUAUCAUGGUUGCUAGGGUUUAGUGGAGACAGAAUCAAAUCUGAAUUUGAGGUUUUAGGGUGUUGUAGUUAAAGAAAAAGAAAAAAGACAGAUGUUCCAGGCACCACAUUUAGAAUCCCGUAGGCACCACACCUAGGUUAGAAUUGCAUCACACAACUCUACAAGAAAGCACAAUUUCUUAGGAAAAAUCUCUAAAAUUUUUUACUCCAAUAAGGAGAUAAUACUCCUACUAUUUUUACACAUCACUUGAUUCUUUGCUCUAUCUUUAAGGGAGAUAAAAUAAGAGAAGCCCACAAAGCAAAAAUAUGAGUUUUUUUGCUACUAUUUUAGAACAAAAUAAAUUUUGAGAUGGGAUCUAUCAUGUCCCUUAUCCGAAAUUACGAGAUAGGGACAUGGCAAUUGCCGCAUACUCAUAGGGCUCUUCUCCCACAAGCAUGCAAUGCUACCAUCAUGAUAUCAUAAUAAUUCAUCCGAAUACAACCAAAGCAACUAAAAUCCAAAUUCCAAUAAUUAAUAAAUCCAACUAACAAGAGACACUCAGAAUUUUGUUCAUGAGAGUUUUACAUCGAUUAUUCUUCAAACACUAAUCAAAAUAAGAAACCUAUAAAAUGUUUCUAAUGCCAAACUAUGAAAGCAAUACUAACUCUGAGCUACACCUCACGAUCGGCCCUUGCUUCUAAUACACAUCUAUAGAGUACCUUGUCAACGACUAAUUCUUUAAAUCUGUAAGGAAACAAGACAUCGGAUAAUAAGCUUAACAACCCAGUAAGUAUGAUGGGAUCUAUCAUGUCUCGGAUCC